GCAGGCUGCAACUCGCCUGCAUGAAGCUGGAAUCGCUAGUAAUCGCGGAUCAGAAUGCCGCGGUGAAUACGUUCCCGGGUCCUUGUACACACCGCCCGUCACACCAUGGGAGUCGGAAAUGCCCGAAGUCAGUGACCCAACCGUAAGGAGGGAGCUGCCGAAGGUGGAGCCGGUAACUGGGGUGAAGUCGUAACAAGGUAAC
rnacentral:rRNA from 1 species